UUUGUUUGUUUGUUUGUUUUUGGAGACAGAGUUUUGCUCUUGUUGCCCAAGCUGGAGUGCAAUGGUGCAAUCUUGGCUCACUGCAACUUCCACCUCCUGGGUUCAAGCAAUUCUCCUGCCUCAGCUUCCUGAGCAGCUGGGAUGACAGGCGCGUGCCUCCAUGCCUGACUAGUUUUUUGUAUUUUUAGCAGAAACAGGGCUUCACCAUGUUAGCCAGGCUGGUCUUGAACUCCUGACCUCAGGUGAUCUGCCCGCCUCAGCCUCCCAAAGUGCUGGGAUUACAGGCGUGAGCCACCGCGCCCGGCCAAGUAUUUUUAAAUGUACUGUCCUUGUGGAGGAUUUCUUUGUCAUAGAGCUCCUUCCUCUAGUGACCCUUUGUUAAUCUGGGACAGUGUAAACUCAGCCAUAAACUGUCAACUCCUGGAGAGGGGCUAGAGAUCAUUGGUCUUUUUAUACCCAAGGCGUAGCCUGGAGGCCGGCCCCAGUGCAGAUUCUCAAUGAAUGUGUGUUUGAUUCAUAAUCAUGUAUGUACUAUCUCUCUUCUAAAGGAACACCUUUAAUCAAGCAAAGGAAAUAUAGCUGUAUAAGUGGAGUAUCUAGUCGGAUCCAUCAUCCCGUAUAGAAUUUUGUGUGUUUAUUCCUCUUUCAGUAGCUGAAUUGAUGCAAAUGAUAAACACUAAGGUCGCUGAACGGACAUAAGAACACAGCGUUGAAUGAAGUGUUAUUCGAGGACCUGCUAUAUAUAAGAUUGACACUUGGGAUAGCAGUGCUUAGUCAUGUAUGAAGGACAGAAAGGAGCCCAUUGUGCCUGAAAAGUAGGAAAUAUGCCAGACAAUGGAAGAUGUAGUUGGAAAAGUAGCAACGCCUGGAUUACAGGGGGCAUGUCACCCUGAGAGAAUGCACUGAAGGAGGUGAAGCUGAAAUGAAAGCCUGGAGACCAAUGUGAAGUUGAUGCAUUAAUACAAACAAGAGAACAGUGGCCUGGACUAAACAAGUAGCAGUAAAGAAGGGAGAAGUGGCCGGGCACGGUGGCUCAAGCCUGUAAUCCC